rnacentral:rRNA from 1 species
UACGUAGGGCGCAAGCGUUAUCCGGAAUUAUUGGGCGUAAAGAGCUCGUAGGCGGUUUGUCGCGUCGGAUGUGAAAGCCCGGGGCUUAACCCCGGGUCUGCAUUCGAUACGGGCAGACUGGAGUGUGGUAGGGGAGAUCGGAAUUCCAGGUGUAGCGGUGAAAUGCGUAGAUAUCUGGAGGAAUACCGGUGGCGAAGGCGGCAUCCUGGACCAUUACUGACGCUGAGGCGCGAAAGCUAGGGGAGCAAACGGGG